ACGAAGAAACAAAAAGAGAUGCAAAUAUAGAACUUCAUUAUUACAAAGCACAUGAGGCACAAACACUGAACAAGUCAUUCUUCAUUGGUUUUUGUUUUUGACUGUAACAUUAACCCUUACCACAACACAUCUACCAUAUUCUUUUAGGUAAUGUACCAACAGUGAGUGGCUGGCAGUGAGUUACUGUGUUAUACAGACUAGCCUCUCAGUAAGCAUAAGAGGAGGUGUUUUAAGGUGUACCAACUUUAUGCAGUAGGUCAAACCUUCAUGUUUGGUUCAGCAUCAUUUAUCAUGCGAAACCAAACUCCAGAGCAGCAGAGAUGGUGCCAGAGUGCUGACACACACCUCUGCUCUGCUUAGUGUGUGUGAGAGACAGAGAGAGAGGCCGUGUGUUCUCUGCUUGGCUGCCAUUUACAAACUCAAUUCACUCUGAUUUGAUUAAGCUGGUCUGAUGCUUGUCUGACAUCUGAGAUGACAUCCACUCCCUCUCUGUCCGCCUCUCAGAGACACAUGAGCUGCUGAAUUCAAUAUCCAGAGUUAUACAGGCUAAGGGCUAUUAACAGAAAGCUUUUAUGACUUUAUAAACUUGUCCUUCUUUUGUAAGCUUUCUUACAUGUUAUGUAAUUCAAACAAGAUGACACACAACUUGUGGGAAAACUGGCUCAUUGUAGUGACAAAUAAAAGAGUGUAUGGCAAAUAUAGUAAAGGAAAAUCAUAUGGAAAUAUUUCAAAACUAAAAUGCGUUAAAAAGAAAGUAUGAGUGAACAGUGAGGGGAAAAUACGGGCUGCAGUAAAGAGGGAGGGGUGGACUUUCAGAGUGAUUGACAGUGUGGAGGAGGAAGGGCACUGUGAAGAAAUCUCAAAGCAUCCUCCAAUUCCUGAGUCAAACCUCUGGAAAAUCUCGUCUCCUCCAACCUCACUUCUCCACAUUAAAUCUGACCAGCUGUUUACAGCUAGCGGUCCUUCUCAUCCCGCUGCACACCUUCUUCACACUGCCUCCUUUGUAGUUUGUUAUCACUUCUUGAGAUGAGAUGGGUGUUGUCUCUGUUCAUUAUUUCAGUCUACCUUUGGACUCACAUGAGUUCCUGUCAGGUUUUUAAUGCAUAUUUUCACGGAUUUAAAGUCCAUUUAUAAUCCAGGGUGUUGUGUUUGUCUUGUAUGAUUUUCUCCUCCUUUUCCCUGAGGAUACACAAGUCUUGAGAGCCCAGAAAAUGAGAUCUGUCAGUUGACAAAACAAUCUCACCACAAAAUCCACUCAAGGUCCACGCUGUUCUACAGCUUUCUGCUUUCUACAUUUUCCUCAGCAGGUAGAGUUGCCCUGCUGUCCAUGGAUUUUCAGAUGAACACUUUAGGGACUUCUUGUCCUUGUUGGUAAGGCUGCAAUUUAAGAUUAUUUUCAUUAUCGAUUAAUCGUUUGUAAACUGUGAAAAGUUUCAGAGUCCAAGGAGACAUCAUCAAAUGUCUUGUUUUAAUCAGUUUACUAGCUGGAACUAGGCAAUGUUUAGCAUUUUUGCUUGAAAAUUGACUUGUUGAAUUUACUGUUGAUCAACUAAUCGAUUAAUCAACUAAUCGUUUCAGCUCUACAUGUUGGCUUAAAGAUUGAGACUGAAAGUUCAUUCUGGACGUUGGAAACAGCAGUUGUGAAACUUGUGAAACUGAUGGGUGUCAUAGUUUGGAGUUUUGUCCUGUUUCCUGUUUAAUUUUGUAGUGUUCUCCUCUCCUCGUGUGUCUUGUGGUUUUACUUCCUGUCUUUGUUUGCUUUCCCUCCAGUUUGGAUUGUUGGCCCCGCCUUGAGUGGUUGCACCUGUGUCUUGUUGUCUCCCCUACCUAAGUGUAUUUAGUCUGGGUUUUUUUCAUUGGUUCAGUGUCAGUUUGUCUUUGUGAGUUGUGUGUUAAGUGUUUUAGGUCUUCACCAGUGUUUCCUUGCUUGUUUACUGUGUACCUUGGAUUUUCUUCCCCCUCAUGGAUUUAUGUUACCUGUUUACUAUCUGCCUUCCUGCCUGUUACCUGUUUGCUGCUUGUCUACCUGCCUGCACCCCUGCCAACCAGUGUACCUGCCUGCCUAUCUACCUGUAUCUGCCAGUUGUCACUAGGCCUCACCCUGUACAAUGCAGGCUCCCAGAUAUGCAGCUUCAGCAAAAGGACAGAGGAGACGACCGUGGUAGAUAUCUCUCUUCAGCUGGAGGUACAGAAGGAGACGAGAAGUGACAGUGGUGCUGAACCUAUAGGGACUUGUGUUGCCAUGGAUCCAGAUGAGUUUCCAGAGGAGACGAAAACACCUCACCAGUCAACUGACUCAUUAAACUUGUUUUCUAACUCAAGCGAAAGAAGCAGCAGAAGGAAAGCAUGAAAGAUUGAAUGGAGUGAAAAGCCUGCUGCUGUAGCUAAAUAGUUAUAUUUAUAGAGUCAGUCUGUAGCUGCAUGGAGGUUCUUCAAAUUGGCCUAAAAAACACAUCUAUCUAUAUUUACAUGACCUUCUCAGUUGUGGUUAAUUUUGUAUUCCUUUACUUCCUCGUCGCAUGCAGAGAUUCCUCCUAUCUCUGUCUUCUUCUAUUUCCUUCCCUGAACUCUUGUCUCGAUGUUACAGUCACAGUAUCUUUUACAUGCUUCUUGUUUUAUGUCACAAGAAGUUCAGUCUGUCCUUCGUCUGUAUCUCCUCUGUGUAUACAAAGUCACUUUUCUGAUUUAAUCAAUGAACAGAGUAUAUAUAGAAUCAGCUGUCAUAAUGACUACAUAAUGCUGAGUCUCAUAAAAUGUAUUCCAACUUUCUCUAAUUUGACCCCUUUUCUGUCUCCACUCGUGACUUUGAAAAAACGCUUUUUUUCCUUCCUCUCUACUUUAGUCUCUUCUGCUCCCACUCUGUGUUUUAUUAUUCACAUUCUCAUGUGCUGUAUGAGGUUUCAUUUGUGUAGGUCAGAUGUGCUUUGACUGUACAUGGGAUCAUCAAGCAGGUUACGUUUAUGCAGAACACUUUUACAGCUGAGCUAAUGGUCAAUUCUUCCAAAUAAGAAACUGGCAGAUUUUUUUUCAAUCUUAUCACCAGGCAAAAACAUCAAUUUUUGACAAUUCUGUAAAACCUUGGAUUACAUUCAAAGUGGAUGUUUUUAAAAUUCUUGCUUUCUGCAACAUUUGUGCAUGGAAACUGGUUUAUGUUAGGUAAAGAUUGUGGUUAUGGUUAAUAAAAAGGCAAAGGCAUUUGUAAGUGAUGAGACUUGAACUGCAAUCUCCUGCAUGAAUGUCAGACCUCUUCAACCAUACUUUCUGCCACUCUAUAUAAAAAGUACACUACUACUUGUGAGGUGCAGAAUUACCUAAUCUGGAUGUGAUUCCUAAGAAUACUGGGUUGUUUUUUUCAUCUCUUUGAUAUUUGGAGGGGGAAAGUAAAGUUGAGGAGAAAAAUGGCAGACUUCAAAUAACAUCCUGCAAACUGGAGCACAUGCAGCACACACACAUUAGCAUAAUCGUUUUUGGAUUUUGAUGAUGAAAAUCCCUACCAAAUAAACUUGAUAUUGAUCGCUCCAUUGGAUUUCAUCUCUGACUGCAAUUCCUUCUGAACUUUCAAAACUGAACUUUAACUAUGUCCACUCCAAACUCAUCAGUAGACUGUUUUUAGACAAGCUAAUCAACAGAAAUGGACAUGAGGACUACAUAAAAAUGCAGUCCCUUCAAAUUGUUGAAAUGCAAGCAGAGGGAAGUAAAAAAAGAUGAUAAAUGAAAAAUCUAGAGAGACAACAAAAGCUGAAGGAGAACUCAAGGAAGGAGGAAGCUGAGAAACAGAGAGGAAAGUUUUUAUGACAUUGAUGAUGCACAAAAACACCUUUAAGUAAUAAAAGUUGCAGAGGACAGGGAGACAUGCCAAUAUGAGUUGAGAGAUGUGGAGAGACACCUGAGGGAGGAGAGCGAGCUGUGAUUAUGGGGAGGAAGAAGGAGGACAGAGAGAGACCAACAGACAGGAGGGAGGAGACACCUGAGGGGUGAAAUUAUGGAGUGACAGAGUGGAGAAAUCUGAAAAGGAUGGACGAGAGAGAGGGAGCAAGAUGGAAAAGCAGGGAUAGAAGGAGGGAAGAGAGAAAUGGUGAUCUUUAGAGAGGAGCAGAGAUGGUGAGACAUUACAGCUCAGAUGGGAUGGAGAACACGAAAACAGAGUCCCUGCUGAGUGAGCAUCUCUAAUUAUCACUAUGCCUGAGAGAAGGUGUGUGUGUGUGUGUGUAUUUUUGGGGGGAGGAAGGAGAGGGGGGAUAUUAUAACGUUUGUAUACCAGAUUUUCCACAAGUUGGACUAUAGCGCAGUUAUUAAAGCAGAAAUGUAUUUUUUUUCGUUACAUCUACCAAACAAAGGUUGUUUUAAUAAAGUGCAUAUAUGCAUCUGCAAUGCAAUAUAUAUCACUAAGCAGCCUAUUACUGAAAAAAGGUACAUAGGUGAUAGCCAGCCAGCAGCCAUUUUAAGCUCUAACGCUCAUUACACACUGGAAAACAAAAUUGUUGGAUUGAUGAAAAAUUGAAAGACAACUUUCCUAUAGCAUAUUCACAUGCAAUCCCCAUAAGUAUGCGUUGCCAAAGUCA